rnacentral:lncRNA from 1 species
GGACUCAGCAAUCGCAGGAGAAAUAGAAGCAGUUAGCCAUGAAAUUACCAUACUAGUACACCUGUCCCAUAAUCUCUGUUGAGCCGCAUUAGUGGCUGGUCGAGGACAUGUUCCAUCUAUAAGACCAAUUUUAUUUUUAGCAGUCAAAGCAACAAUUAUUUUUCUUCUCCAUCCCCCAAAACCAUCACCUGAGAAGGGUGUGGGGACAAGAGAUACCCCGGGAACAUCGGAGGAGUAUAGAAAUAAAGGACUUGAAGAGUCCAAAAGACCAGUAUUGGUGGUACCAGUAUUGGUGUUAGCAGUAUUGGUGUUAGCAUCCAUGAUAUAUCAACAAGGAAGAACAGAUUCAGCAACCAAAAAUGUAACAAAUCAAAUAGUCACACACAAAGCCAAAUAAUCAAACACAAAGCCAAAAACCGAUAUACACAAACCAGGUGCACAGCUUUAAAACAAAGUUACCCUCCUUCUUCGCUACCGGAAGAAGAUCGGCCUUCAAAUAGUAGUGAAAACCCUAGGUAUGAAACCCUAGGUUCAAUCGUCGAUUCAGUCACCGGAAAUACAAGAAACGAUGUCGGAAAGUUAC